UGUGCCUUCCGAUCUCUCAGCAGGAAAAGCUCCAGGCUGCCAUUCUCCUCCUCCCCCCAAUCUAAAAUCUUGACCCUCCAUUUUUCAGAGGUUGCAAAAGAGAGACAGAAAUUCAUCAGCUAAUGGAAAAAAGCCCCUUCCUUUCCCAACAGGAAGCAGGAAGGAC